AACGAACGCUGGCGGCAGGCUUAACACAUGCAAGUCGAGCGCCCCGCAAGGGGAGCGGCAGACGGGUGAGUAACGCGUGGGAAUCUACCCAUCUCUACGGAAUAACGCAUGGAAACGUGUGCUAAUACCGUAUACGUCCUUCGGGAGAAAGAUUUAUCGGAGAUGGAUGAGCCCGCGUUGGAUUGGCUAGUUGGUGGGGUAAAGGCCUACCAAGGCGACGAUCCAUAGCUGGUCUGAGAGGAUGAUCAGCCACACUGGGACUGAGACACGGCCCAGACUCCUACGGGAGGCAGCAGUGGGGAAUAUUGGACAAUGGGCGCAAGCCUGAUCCAGCCAUGCCGCGUGAGUGAUGAGGGCCCUAGGGUUGUAAAGCUCUUUCACCGGUGAAGAUAAUGACGGUAACCGGAGAAGAAGCCCCGGCUAACUUCGUGCCAGCCGCCGCCGUAAUAC
rnacentral:rRNA from 1 species